CGUAGGGUGCAAGCGUUAAUCGGAAUUACUGGGCGUAAAGCGUGUGUAGGCGGUUCGGAAAGAAAGAUGUGAAAUCCCAGGGCUCAACCUUGGAACUGCAUUUUUAACUGCCGAGCUAGAGUAUGUCAGAGGGGGGUAGAAUUCCACGUGUAGCAGUGAAAUGCGUAGAUAUGUGGAGGAAUACCGAUGGCGAAGGCAGCCCCCUGGGAUAAUACUGACGCUCAGACACGAAAGCGUGGGGAGCAAACAGGAUUAGAUACCCUGGUAGUCCACGCCCUAAACGAUGUCAACUAGCUGUUGGGGCCGUUAGGCCUUAGUAGCGCAGCUAACGCGUGAAGUUGACCGCCUGGGGAGUACGGUCGCAAGAUUAAAACUCAAAGGAAUUGACGGGGACCCGCACAAGCGGUGGAUGAUGUGGAUUAAUUCGAUGCAACGCGAAAAACCUUACCUACCCUUGACAUGUCUGGAAUGCCGAAGAGAUUUGGCAGUGCUCGCAAGAGAACCGGAACACAGGUGCUGCAUGGCUGUCGUCAGCUCGUGUCGUGAGAUGUUGGGUUAAGUCCCGCAACGAGCGCAACCCUUGUCAUUAGUUGCUACGCAAGAGCACUCUAAUGAGACUGCCGGUGACAAACCGGAGGAAGGUGGGGAUGACGUCAAGUCCUCAUGGCCCUUAUGGGUAGGGCUUCACACGUCAUACAAUGGUCGGGACGGAGGGUCGCCAACCCGCGAGGGGGAGCCAAUCUCAGAAACCCGAUCGUAGUCCGGAUCGCAGUCUGCAACUCGACUGCGUGAAGUCGGAAUCGCUAGUAAUCGCGGAUCAGAAUGUCGCGGUGAAUACGUUCCCGGGUCUUGUACACACCGCCCGUCACACCAUGGGAGUGGGUUUCACCAGAAGUAGGUAGCCUAACCGUAAGGAGGGCGCUUACCACGGUGGGAUUCAUGACCGGGGUGAAGUCGUAACAAGGUAACCGAAGGG
rnacentral:rRNA from 1 species